ACGCUCGACACCUACGGAGCAGCAGUGGGGAAUAUUGCACAAUGGGGGAAACCCUGAUGCAGCGACGCCGCGUGGAGGAAGAAGGUCUUCGGAUUGUAAACUCCUGUUGUUGGGGAAAAAGAGGAUGGUACCCAACAAGGAAGUGACGGCUAACUACGUGCCCGCAGCCGCCGGUAAGUACUGAGCGGGCGUGGCGAAGGACG
rnacentral:rRNA from 1 species